AUCCCUACGGGAGGCAGCAGUGGGGAAUAUUGCACAAUGGGGGAAACCCUGAUGCAGCGACGCCGCGUGAGUGAAGAAGUGCCUCGGCACGUAAAGCUCUAUCAGCAGGGAAGAAAAUGACGGUACCUGACCAAGAAGCCCCGGCUAACUACGUGCCAGCAGCCGCGGUAAUACGUAGGGGGCAAGCGUUAUCCGGAUUUACUGGGUGUAAAGGGAGCGUAGACGGCAGUGCAAGUCUGGAGUGAAAGGCGGGGGCUCAACCCCCGGACUGCUCUGGAAACUGUACGGCUGGAGUGCAGGAGAGG
rnacentral:rRNA from 1 species